rnacentral:tRNA from 1 species
AAAGCGUUAGUGUAAUUGGAAACACGUCAACAUCCCAAGUUGGUAAUGUAGGUUCGAGUCCUAUACGCUUUUCAA